rnacentral:rRNA from 1 species
CAGUCGCCGCGGGAAUACGUAGGGUGCGAGCGUUAAUCGGAAUUACUGGGCGUAAAGCGUGCGCAGGCGGUUGUGUAAGACAGGUGUGAAAUCCCCGGGCUUAACCUGGGAACUGCGCUUGUGACUGCACAGCUAGAGUAUGGCAGAGGGGGGUGGAAUUCCACGUGUAGUAGUGAAAUGCGUAGAGAUGUGGAGGAACACCGAUGGCGAAGGCAGCCCCCUGGGCCAAUACUGACGCUCAUGCACGAAAGCGUGGGGAGCGAACAGGAUUAGAUACCCCGGUAGUCCCUGUCUCUUAUAC